CCGAGUUUACAACUCCCAAACCCCUGUGAACAUACCUAUCGUUGCUAUCGGCGGAUCCGCCCCGGCGCCCUCGGGCCCGGAUCAGGCGCCCGCCGGAGACCCCAAACUCUUGUAUUUCUUUAGUAUCUUCUGAGUAAACAAGCAAAUAAAUUA
rnacentral:misc_RNA from 1 species